rnacentral:misc_RNA from 1 species
UCUCCGUAGGUGAACCUGCGGAGGGAUCAUUACAGAGUUCAUGCCCUACCGGGUAGAUCUCCCACCCUAUGUUAUUAUUACUUUGUUGCUUUGGCGGGCCGUUAGGCUCCGGCCCGACUACCGGCCCCGGCUGGUAAGCGGCCGCCAGAGGACCCAAAACCCUGAAUAUUAGUGUCGUCUGAGUACUAUAUAAUAGUUAAAACUUUCAACAACGGAUCUCUUGGUUCUG